rnacentral:rRNA from 1 species
AGGACGAACGCUGGCGGCGUGCUUAACACAUGCAAGUCACGGGGGGUCGCAAGACCAACCGGCGAACGGGUGCGUAACACGUGAGCAACCUGCCGAUCUGAGGGGGAUAGCCGGCCCAACGGCCGGGUAAUACCGCAUACGUUCUUUGGGGGGCAUUCCUCGAAGAAGAAACCUCUGGGGCAGAUCGAGGGGCUCGCGGCCUAUCAGCUAGUUGGCGGGGUAACGGCCCACCAAGGCGACGACGGGUAGCUGGU